rnacentral:rRNA from 1 species
GACGAACGCUGGCGGCGUGCUUAACACAUGCAAGUCGAGCGGUAAGGCCCUUUCGGGGGUACACGAGCGCGAACGGGUGAGUAACACGUGGGUGACCUGCCCUCAGCUCUGGGAUAAGCCUGGGGAAACCGGGUCUAAUACUGGAUAUGACUCCAUGACGCAUGUUGUGGGGUGGAAAGCCUUGUGCGGCUGAGGAUGGGCCCGCGGCCUAUCAGCUUGUU